rnacentral:rRNA from 1 species
UGUUUCUUAUAAACUACACUGUUGAACUUGGAAGCUAAGCAGGGUUGGGCCCAGUUAAUACUUGGAUGGGAGACCACCUGGGAAUACACUACUCAGAUAAUU